rnacentral:tRNA from 1 species
UCUCCUGUAGUUCAGUGGUAGAGCGUCCGACCGGUGUGCGGAAGGUCAUAGGUUCGACUCCUGUUGGGGAAC